UACAGAGGUCCCAAGCGUUGUUCGGAUUCAUUGGGCGUAAAGGGUGCGUAGGUGGCGCUGUAAGUCAGGUGUGAAAUUUCGAGGCUUAACCUCGAAACUGCAUUUGAUACUGCGGUGCUUGAGGACUGGAGAGGAGACUGGAAUUUACGGUGUAGCAGUGAAAUGCGUAGAGAUCGUAAGGAAGACCAGUGGCGAAGGCGGGGUCUCUGGACAGUUCCUGACACUGAGGCACGAAGGCCAGGGGAGCAAACGGG
rnacentral:rRNA from 1 species